rnacentral:rRNA from 1 species
AUUGAACGCUGGCGGCAUGCCUUACACAUGCAAGUCGAGCGGCAGCGCGGGGGCAACCCUGGCGGCGAGCGGCGAACGGGUGAGUAAUGCAUCGGAACGUGUCCUCUUGUGGGGGAUAACCAGUCGAAAGACUGGCUAAUACCGCAUGAGAUCGCAAGAUGAAAGCAGGGGACCCGCAAGGGCCUUGCGCGAGAGGAGCGGCCGAUGCCUGAUUAGCUAGUUGGUGGGGUAAAAGCCUACCAAGGCGACGAUCAGUAGCUGGUCUGAGAGGACGACCAGCCACACUGGGACUGAGACACGGCCCAGACUCCUACGGGAGGCAGCAGUGGGGAAUGUUGGACAAUGGGGGCAACCCUGAUCCAGCCAUGCCGCGUGUGCGAAGGAGGCCUUCGGGUUGUAAAGCACUUUCGGCCGGAACGAAAUCGUCACCGUUAAUAGCGGUGAUGGAUGACGGUACCGGAAGAAGAAGCACCGGCUAACUACGUGCCAGCCGCCGCCGUAAAAC